GCCUACAUGGAUCAUGGAUCAGUGGUUAGAUCGCCUUCUACGAAGGAUAUGCAUAUCGAAUACUCAGGAAGGAGACGGAGGUUCGAUCCCUCCUGUGGGCA